UCCCUGGUGGUCCAGUGGUUAAGAUGCGGUGCUGCCACUGUAGGGGUCUCAGGUUCGAUCCCUGGUCAGGGAA
rnacentral:tRNA from 1 species